AUGCCAGAGAGUGGCAGUCACGUGAUGAAGAAUGACAAGCACAGCUGUGGCCAAUCCAAAGAAAGACUGCUUCAUAAACAUGCAGGGAUGUUACCGUCCUGCUCUAGAGUUUCACACUCCAUCUGCAUGAAAGACGCCUGGAAGAGUGACCAGGUUGGGCCUGUUGCACAAUGAGCGUUUUACAGCUUGCUUUCUUUGACUUUGCUCAAUUUGCUGCUUGAUCCACUCCACCACAACUGAAUGCACAGGGGCAAUGUUUAUUCCUACCUCUGUCUCUUCAUCGUAUUGCCUGAAUUCUGAGGACGUACACACGUCUGACCAGCGUGGAACUGGAGAUCUUGUUUCCUAGGGGGAGAGCUGAAAUGGGUCAGGACCAAGCAAAACAGCAGAUUGAGAAGGGACUCCACCUGUAUCAGUCUAACCAGACCGAGAAAGCACUCCACAUUUGGGCCAAGGUCUUGGAGAAGGCAUCUGACCCUGCUGCAAAGUUCCGGGUUCUUGGCUGUCUCAUCACUGCCCAUUCGGAGAUGGGAAAAUAUAAGGACAUGCUGAAGUAUGCCCUAGCUCAGAUCGAUACAGCUCGGGAGAUGGAGGAUCCCGAUUACCUCACGGAAGCUUAUCUGAACUUGGCACGCAGCAAUGAGAAAUUGUGUGACUAUCAAAAGACCAUCUCGUACUGCAAGACCUGCCUCAACAUGCAAGGCACAACCAUCAGCCUGCAACUCAAUGGCCAGGUUUGCCUGAGCCUUGGCAAUGCCUUCCUGGGCCUCAGCAUGUUCCAGAAAGCCCUGGAGAACUAUGAGAAGGCGCUCCGCUACGCCCACAAUAACGAUGACAAGAUGCUAGAGUGCCGUGUGUGCUGCAGCUUGGGCAAUUUCUACAUCCAGCUCAAGGACUUUGAAAAGGCUCUCUUUUUUCCCUGUAAAGCAGCUGAGCUUGUAAAUGAUUAUGGUAAAGGUUGGAGCUUGAAGUAUCGAGCAAUGAGCCAGUAUCACAUGGCAGUGGCUUACAGGAAGUUGGGUCGUCUCCCUGAUGCCAUGGAGUGCUGUGAGGAGUCCAUGAAGAUUGCCCUUCAGCACAGUGAUCGUCCCCUCCAAUCUCUGUGCCUGCUGACCUUUGCUGACAUCCAUCGCAGUAGAGGUGAUGUUCAGAAAGCAUUCCCUCGCUAUGAGUCGUCCAUGUGCAUCAUGACGGAGACAGGCAAUCGCUUGGGCCAGGUGAACAUCUACCUAGGAGUGGCCAAGUGUUGGCUUCUGCAGAAGGAGCUGGACAAGGCCUUGGCUGCAGUUGAGAAAGCAUAUGAACUGGCAGAAGGGUUGGAGCACAAGUUGAGUCUUCUCCGUGUCCACUGCCUAAGCGAAGGUAUUUAUCGUGCUAAAGAGGAGCAGGCCAAACUUCGGGAACAUGUCGUCAAGUUCCAUGAGUGUGUGGAGGAAAUGGAGCUAUAUUGCGGCAUGUGUGGAGAGUCCAUAGGAGACCGAAACCAUCAGCUGCAAGCGCUGCCCUGCUCCCACGUCUUUCACCUUAAGUGUCUGCAGACAAAUGGGACAAGAGGGUGUCCAAAUUGCAGAAAAUCUUCAAUCAAACCAGGCUUUGUAUGAUGGAUGUGGCAUCAGUCAUUGAAUGGUGCUGGUUGGACAUGGACUGCUCUUGUUUUUCUUGAUGCAGUUAACCAGAGGGAGACACCAACAUCAAGCAGAUGGUUGAACAGACAGACAUUCUAAUUUCCUUUCUCUUUGGUAACAUGGAAGCAUGUUCAGGAGCAGGCAUGUGGCAGCAACCUGGCACCAUCUUCCUGUCUACAGUUACCUUGGAGAUCAUUCCACCUGCAUGGAGAGUGGGCAUACUGGAAGUAAAACAAGAGGUGCUGCUGGUCCAUAUUCACCCUCCUGUCCGGUGAGGCGGACAAUCCAGCAAGCCUUUCAGCAACAGACGGCCUGUCCACCCCAAUCACUCAAAGAGUGCCCAGGAGCUCAGUGCAGCAGUCACGUACUUCAUGAUGCCAUUUCAAAUGGUGAGACCUGGAUGGCUGAGGCAGAGAAAGGUGGCAGAGGCACUAUGUAAAGUACCAUCACAACAGUUGUUUUUCAUUGCUAAAAAUCUCCAAUCUAUACAACCAAGUUAAAGCCGAUGUUGGCAGAAAGUUACCGUAGGGUACAUUGUGUGCUGAUCUUUGGACCAGCUGUGGUGUUCAGCAACCUUACAUUAGCUUCACCAUAUAUUACAUCACCCCAGUCUGGAAACACAGUUCUUCCCAGAAGAUCCCACUUCUGAGAGACAUCCAAACUUUUUUUGAAAAUACGUUGGAGGAGUGGGGACUCAACAAGGAAGACCAGGUCUGUGAUACCACAUAUAAUACAAGAAACACGAGAAAAGCCUUUGAAGAAUAUCAUGCCCAGCAGCACAAGAAUUCAAAGGUCAAUGAGAAGUCAAUGAUGUAGUCAAAAAAAAAAUAAUAAUAAUGUAGCAAGAGUCAAAACCAGGAGGACCAGUCUCAGUAACCGAGGCCAAGAAUCAUGGGACAAAAUCGAAGAAAGAAGGAACCCAGAAAGUUCAGAAUAUGAAUAUGAAACCAAACUUUUUCAAAAAAGGUUCAAAGGGUUUUGGAGUUGGUGGAGUAGGAUGGGGAAGUGUACCACUAGAUGACCUUUCAUCCUGUCACGGUGUGAUUGAUAGACCACGACCUCUGAGGACACAACCACUGUUGGGUGGUCCUAGCAAGAGGAAUCCACUAUAGUGCCGUCAAUAUGGCGGUGAUAUAGCGGCCCCAAUCUCAAAUCAACAUCAGAACUAUAUUUUACAAAUACAUGAACCCCCCAACCGAGUCCCUGAUAGUACCCAGAUCUGUGGCUUGGGUUGCUUUGGCCAUAACCUGAACUUUACAAUUUCAAAGGCUUUGAAAAUUUAGAGAGUUGGCCCUGCAUGCCAAGGCUGAUAUCAUUUGGUUCAUGGCUUCUCGCAGAUCUGGGAAAGGAGAAUUGAGUUAAAGCAAAAGGAAGCUGCCGUCAACAUUCCCCAGAAGGCCCUGGUCCCUAAUGUGGGGACUCGAUUGGAAUCCAUAUACAAGCUGCUUGAGUGUUUCCUCAGCCAACAGUAGACAGCCAUUGGUGUUACACUGGAAGGAGAAAGAGGAAUAUGGCAUCUGAGGCCUAAUCAAGCUGACAUACUGUAAGUGUCAUGUGGCCUCUGAGUAUGUUUACCCAUACACUUGGUUCAUAACCUGGAGUGACACUGUCAGCCAUUAAACCUGUCACGGUCCACAUCACCAGUGACAUUCUGGAGGACAAUGGUGAAAGGUGUAAUGCUAGAAGACCUUAACAGCAGAUACAGUAUACAGAGAAGGCAAAAAUGGUGAUGAGCAUUGGCUUUCUCAUUGACCCCCAGUUCAAAGGUCGCUUUUUGAACCAGUUUCACUUUUCACGCGUUUUAUUUUUUUUCCUACCCAUUUUGC